AGAAAGUUUAGAUACAAACGAUAGACGUAGCUUACCUUGAAGGAGAAAGAUUGGUUGCAGAGAUUGCAGAGAUUGCAGAGGACGAUUGCUUACGGAGGAGGAAAAUUCCAUCACGGAGCAGGAUAAUCUACAUAAAAUCUUUAAUUAAAUAUUGAAUUAAAGAUAUUUUAUUUUAGUUGGUUUAGAUUAAUUCGCAGCCCAUUGUAUUUUAUUUUAAAUUGUGCAGUCCAUAAUUUAUUUAUCACGGACUA